rnacentral:rRNA from 1 species
UACGUAGGCAGCGAGCGUUGUUCGGAGUUACUGGGCGUAAAGGGUGUGUAGGCGGUUGUUUAAGUUUGGUGUGAAAUCUCCCGGCUCAACUGGGAGGGUGCGCCGAAUACUGAAUGACUUGGAGUGCGGGAGAGGAAAGUGGAAUUCCUGGUGGUAGCGGUGAAAUGCGUAGAUAUCAGGAGGAACACCGGUGGUGUAGACGGCUUUCUGGACCGUAACUGACGCUGAGCGCGAAAGCGUGGGGAGCAAACAGG